ensembl:lncRNA
UGGAGGCUUUUAAGCUCUUCCUGUGUUACUCACGCCCUAAGGCAGUGAAGGACUUCCCUUGCUCUGUAGGAAUGGUUCCUGAGCAAGGGCAUGGCCAUCUGCCUGUAACAGAUACUGAAGGGGAGGGUUUUGUGACUGCACUGAUGCAGUUGGCUUUUUAAUGGCAAUUGCACCCCGCUAACAUGCAGCUCUUUCUGACACAGGCAGGAGACGGGCAGCGGUACUGCAGCUCGUCUGCGACUUUGAAGCUAAGUUGGGAAGUGGAAGAUGUGGAUGUGAAAGAAGAACUCAGUUACUGGGACGCUCCCUUCUCUUCCCCUAGCUGUCCCCUUGCCUCAGCCCGGGUUCCCCUUGCAUUCCUGUAGGUUUCCCUUCCAUCCCCCUGGCUGCCCUGUGCUUUCCCCAAGGUUGCCCUUUCCUUUCCCAUGACAGCCCACCCACAAUUCCCUCAGCGCCCCAAUAGCCCCCUCAGUAUUUCCUAUCCAAGAACCUGUAGCUACCCCACGACCCCCACGGAGCCCCAUAGGCCCUCAAGGAUCUCUUCAGGCCUGGUACACCUUCCCCAUAGCUGGCCCAAAACCUCACAGAACCACAUAGUCUGUUACAGUACCCCAUUUCCCUGCUGGGCUCCCACUGAACCCCCAUGUUUCCUCCCUAAGACCUGCCUUACCACAUCCAGGACCCCCCUGAGAUCUUCCAGACCCCACAGUUCCUUAGAGGACCCCGUCACUAUUCCAGGACCCCCAUAGCUGACCCUCCUCAACCCCAUUUCCCUCCAGAUCCCAUAUCACCACACAGUGCUGGGGCAGGAUUGGCUGCUGCAGGAAAGGAAUGCGGAGCAGGGGGAGGUGUAGGGCACAGAUGUUGGUGAAAGUGACGUGGGGGGUACUGGGGAGACGGGUACACGGUAACGUGGGAGUAUUUGAGGAUAUGGGCCAAUAUGGGCCUGCAGGAGGAGAAUGCUGUGCAGAAGAAGGCAACGUGUGAGGUAAAGGUGGGACCUGUGGGUGCGGGGACAUGGGGUGGCAUGGGGACGUAGGGGGUGUGGGGGCAUGUGGGGAGCGGUUUGGGGUCAGAGUGGGGGAUGUGGGGCGGUGUUGGAGUGCAUUUAUGGAUUUCUUCCUGAGAGGGGGUUGGGGUUCCCUGUGGCGCAAAGGUGGAGCCCUGGUCCAUAACCCCACGUGACCCCAUUACCCCAUACAACUCCGCGUGACCCCAGGGCUCCACAUCACCCAUAGCCCUGUGAGUACCAUAUGCCCAGAGGAGGCUCUGGACAGUGAUGGGGCUGUUAUUGGGUCGUUCAGGGGGUACUGUAGGGUGGCUCUGGGGCCGCUGUAGAACAGCACUCUAUAUCUGCCCCUGACCCUCACCUUGCCCACGUCUUGGG